rnacentral:rRNA from 1 species
GAUGAACGCUGGCGGCGUGCCUAAUACAUGCAAGUCGAGCGAACGGACGAGAAGCUUGCUUCUCUGAUGUUAGCGGCGGACGGGUGAGUAACACGUGGAUAACCUACCUAUAAGACUGGGAUAACUUCGGGAAACCGGAGCUAAUACCGGAUAAUAUUUUGAACCGCAUGAUUCAAAAGUGAAAGACGGUCUUGCUGUCACUUAUAGAUGGAUCCGCGCUGCAUUAGCUAGUUGGUAAGGUAACGGCUUACCAAGGCAACGAUGCAUAGCCGACCUGAGAGGGUGAUCGGCCACACUGGAACUGAGACACGGUCAAGACUCCUACGGGAGGCAGCAGUAGGGAAUCUUCCGCAAUGGGCGAAAGCCUGACGGAGCAACGCCGCGUGAGUGAUGAAGGUCUUCGGAUCGUAAAACUCUGUUAUUAGGGAAGAACAUAUGUGUAAGUAACUGUGCACAUCUUGACGGUACCUAAUCAGAAAGCCACGGCUAACUACGUG